GGCCAGGUGGCGGAGUGGUUAACGCGACAGACUCGAAUUCCUUCGAUAUCUGUUUCCUUCGGGAGCGCAUGUUCGAGUCAUGCCCUGGUCG